rnacentral:rRNA from 1 species
GUUGCAGUUAAAAGCUCGUAGUUGAACCUUGGGCCUGGCUGGCCGGUCCGCCUCACCGCGUGCACUGGUCCGGCCGGGUCUUUCCCUCUGGGGAGCCGCAUGCCCUUCACUGGGUGUGUCGGGGAACCAGGACUUUUACUUUGAAAAAAUUAGAGUGUUCAAAGCAGGCUUAUGCUCGGAUACAUUAGCAUGGAAUAAUAGAAUAGGACGUGCGGUUCUAUUUUGUUGGUUUCUAGGACCGCCGUAAUGAUUAAUAGGGACAGUCGGGGGCAUCAGUAUUCAAUUGUCAGAGGUGAAAUUCUUGGAUUUAUUGAAGACUAACUACUGCGAAAGCAUUUGCCAAGGAUGUUUUCAUUAAUCAGGAACGAAAGUUAGGGGAUCGAAGACGAUCAGAUACCGUCGUAGUCUUAACCAUAAACUAUGCCGACUAGGGAUCGGACGAUGUUAUUUUUUGACUCGUUCGGCACCUUACACGAAAGUACAAGUUUCUGGGUUCUGGGGGGAGUAUGGUCGCAAGGCUGAAACUUAAAGAAAUUGACGGAAGGGCACCACCAGGGGUGGAAUCUGCGGCUUAAUUUGACUCAACACGGGGAAACUCACCAGGUCCAGACACGAUGAGGAUUGACAGAUUGAGAGCUCUUUCUUGAUUUCGUGGGUGGUGGUGCAUGGCCGUUCUUAGUUGGUGGAGUGAUUUGUCUGCCUAAUCGCGAUAACGAACGAGACCUUAACCUGCUAAAUAGCCCGCGUUGCUUUGGCAGCGCGCUGGCUUCUUAGAGGGACUAUCGGCUCAAGCCGAUGGAGUUUGAGCAGUAACAGGUCUGUGAUGCCCUUAGAUGUCUGGGCCGCACGCGCGUACACUGAC